rnacentral:rRNA from 1 species
AAUGAACGUUGGCGGCGUGGAUUAGGCAUGCAAGUCGAGCGAGAAGCUUUGGAAAGAUACUUCGGUUGAUUUCUAGAGUGGACAGCGGCGAAAGGGAGAGUAACGAGUAGAUAACGUACCCAGGGGUUCGGGAUAGCUGCGGGAAACUGCAGGUAAUACCGGAUAAUGUUUCCGAACCAAAGAUUUAUCGCCCUUGGAUCGGUCUGCUUACUAUUAGCUUGUUGGUGGGUAAAAGCCUACCAAGGCUAAGAUGGUUAGCGGGUGUGAGAGCAUGGCCCGUCUCACUGGGACUGAGACACUGCCCAGACGUCUACGGACGGCUGCAGUCGAGAAUCUUCCGCAAUGGACGAAAGUCUGACGGAGCGACGCCGCGUGCGGGAUGAAGGCCUUCGGGUUGUAAACCGCUGUCAGAGGGGAGCAAAUUUUGAGCGAUCCUCAGAGGAAGCACAGGCUAAGUUCGUG